rnacentral:rRNA from 1 species
AUGGACCAAUCCAUCCCUUUUUCCCGUGCAUAUGCAUCAGACUCGGAUGACGAUGGUCCUGAUGAAGAAGUUGAUGAGGAGGGGUUCACGCCGAAGGAGGACGAAGCAUUCAAGAAGGUAUUCGGGCGGGAUCACAAGACACCAUUGUUCAAGGAUCUUAGUCUCGCGGAUGAAGCUGUUGUGGAUGGUGGCAAAUGCAUAUCUCUUGGAGCUAGGCCAAGUUCUCACCGUGAUUUGGAAGACGGCAAGAACGGGAUAUAUAUCCCAGUUGUGAGUUUCAAUCCUUCUUAG